CACGUAGGGCGCAAGCGUUGUCCGGAAUUAUUGGGCGUAAAGAGCUCGUAGGCGGUCUGUUACGUCUGCUGUGAAAACUCGGGGCUUAACCCCGAGCUUGCAGUGGAUACGGGCAGACUAGAGGUAGGUAGGGGAGAAUGGAAUUCCCGGUGUAGCGGUGAAAUGCGCAGAUAUCGGGAGGAACACCGGUGGCGAAGGCAGCCCCCUGGGUCAAGAUUGACGCUCAUGCACGAAAGCGUGGGGAGCAAACGAGG
rnacentral:rRNA from 1 species